GUGCAAGCGUUAUCCGGAAUUAUUGGGCGUAAAGAGCUCGUAGGCGGUUUGUCACGUCUGCUGUGAAAACUGGAGGCUCAACCUCCAGCCUGCAGUGGGUACGGGCAGACUAGAGUGCGGUAGGGGAGAUUGGAAUUCCUGGUGUAGCGGUGGAAUGCGCAGAUAUCAGGAGGAACACCGAUGGCGAAGGCAGAUCUCUGGGCCGUAACUGACGCUGAGGAGCGAAAGCAUGGGGAGCGAACAGG
rnacentral:rRNA from 1 species